rnacentral:rRNA from 1 species
GCCAUGCACGUGUAAGUCCAUACCUUUGCACGGUGACACCGCGAACGGCUCAUUAGAUCGAUCGUUGUUCCUUAGAUCGUACGACAUUGACUUGGAUAACUGUGGUAAUUCUAGAGCUAAUACAUGCGACGCAGACCGCCACGGCCGGCGCGGCAGUAAUGCUGUGGACGGUGCGGUGGCGGAGCUUUUAUUAGACGAAAAACCGGCUGGGUACUUUGGUACCCGUGUUGCUUUUGAAAAAGAAGCCGUGUUGGUGACUCUGAAUAACUUGUGCUGAUCGCUUGUGGCCCCGCGUGGCCGGCGACGUAUCUUUUAAACGUUCGACCUAUCAAGUUUCGACGGUAGCCGCCUUGGCUACCGUGCUGGUAACGGGUGACGGGGAAUCGGGGUUCGAUUCCGGAGAGGGAGCCUGAGAAACGGCUACCACAUCCAAGGAAGGCAGCAGGCGCGCAAAUUACCCACUCCCGGCACGGGGAGGUAGUGACGAAAAAUAACGAUACGGGACUCUUUCGAGGCCCCGUAAUCGGAAUGAGUACACUUUAAAUCCUUGGUGUUUUGGCGAGGAUCUAUUGGAGGGCAAGUCUGGUGCCAGCAGCCGCGGUAAUUCCAGCUCCAAUAGCGUAUAUUAAAGUUGUUGCGGUUAAAAAGCUCGUAGUCGGAUGUGCUAGCGGUGCGUUGGGUUGUGGCCUUUUUGUUGGCUUCGUACUUUUCAGCGUGUGGACCGCUACGGUGUCGGUCGGAGAGAGGUUUGCCGCAGCCGCUUUGCGGCGGCGGGCGGCGGCCUCGGUCGGCUUAGCUCGGGGGCUGUUGCUGGCUCCCGUGUGGUCGGUCCGGCCCUUUUACUUUGAAAAAAUUAGAGUGUUCAAAGCGGGCGCGCCUCGCGUCGCCCGGAUAGUAGAAGCAUGGAAUAAUAGAAGAGGACCUCGGGUCGGUGCGUUUGUUGUUGGUUUUGGUCGGCCUCGUCUCACGAUACAAGAGGUAAUGAUUAAGAGGGACGGCCGGGGGCGUCCGUAUUGCGGCGUUAGAGGUGAAAUUCUUGGACCGUCGCAAGACGAGCGGGUGCGAAAGCGUUCGCCCAGAACGUUUUCAUUGAUCAAGAGCGAAAGUCAGAGGUUCGAAGACGAUCAGAUACCGUCGUAGUUCUGACCCUAAACGCUGUCGGCAGGGGACGGGCGGGCGUUCCGAUGGGAUGACCCCGCCCGAACUCGCGAGAGAAAUCUUUUAGCUUCUGGACUCCUCGGGGAAUAUGGUUGCAAAAGUGAAACUUAAAGGAAUUGACGGAAGGGCACCACCAGGAGUGGAGCCUGCGGCUUAAUUUGACUCAACACGGGAAAACUCACCCGGCCCGGACACCGUAAGGAUUGACAGAUUGAGAGCUCUUUCUCGAUUCGGUGGGUGGUGGUGCAUGGCCGUUCUUAGUUGGUGGAGUGAUUUGUCUGGUUAAUUCCGAUAACGAACGAGACUCUAGCCUGCUAACUAGCCCCGUCGUUCUAUGCGUUAGAGCGGCGGGCGAUUCCGCGAGUGCGGCCUCGCGCGGCAUUGCGCCGCAGUCUUGCGGUUGCGUGCGGCGCGUUGGCGGCUCGUCGGAGCGCUUCUUAGAGGGACAAACGCCUUACAGGCGCACGAGAUUGAGCAAUAACAGGUCUGUGAUGCCCUUAGAUGUUCGGGGCCGCACGCGCGCUACACUGAAGGCCUCAGCGUGUGUCGCUUUGGGCCUGCGCCGAGAGACGCGGGUAACCCGUUGAACCGCCUUCGUGCUAGGGACCGGGGCUUGCAAUUGUUCCCCGCCAACGAGGAAUUCCUAGUAAGCGCGAGUCAUAAGCUCGCGUUGAUUACGUCCCUGCCCUUUGUACACACCGCCCGUCGCUACUACCGAUUGGAUGGUUUAGUGAGGCCCUCGGAUGGG